rnacentral:rRNA from 1 species
CCAAGGAGUCUAACAUGUUCGCAAGUCAUUGGGUUGUAAAACCCAAAGGCAUAAUGAAAGUGAAGAUCAGUUCUGCUGGUCGAGGUGGGAUCUCUCUUCAAGGGAGCGCACCACCGUCCCAUCGCAUUUGCUCGUCAAAGCGGUGGAGAAAGAGCGUACAUGUUGGGACCCGAAAGAUGGUGAACUAUGCCUGAGCAGGAUGAAGCCAGAGGAAACUCUGGUGGAGGUCCGUAGCGGUUCUGACGUGCAAAUCGAUCGUCAGACUUGGGUAUAGGGGCGAAAGACUAAUCGAACCAUCUAGUAGCUGGUUCCCUCCGAAGUUUCCCUCAGGAUAGCUGGCACUUUUACGCAGUUUUACCCGGUAAAGCGAAUGAUUAGAGGCCUUGGGGACGAAAACACCUCAACCUAUUCUCAAACUUUAAAUGGGUAAGAAGUCUCGCUUGCCUGACCGAAGCUCAGACAUUGAAUGCGAGUGCCAAGUGGGCCAUUUUU